rnacentral:misc_RNA from 1 species
GAGCCGACGCUCAGCGUCUUAUCGCCAGGAUUUUUCGUAUCAGCCAUUCAACAGUCCCAAUCUCGUUCGUUGCUCGCAUGCCGCAUCUGACGGCAAUGCCCUAAUUGUUCUGGUCGAUCCCGCCAUCGUGACUGCCACCCGUCCCCCGAAAUCGGGUGAGCGUCUGAGGAAGGUCUUGCUUGCCGGGCCCGCGAGCAGGGCAGCAUGUACCACAUUUGCCCGCCCG